rnacentral:rRNA from 1 species
AUAUCAAUAAGCGGAGGAAAAGAAACCAACGGGGAUUCCUCAGUAACGGCGAGUGAAGCGGCAACAGCUCAGAUUUGAAAUCUGGUUCCUUCGGAGCCCGAGUUGUAAUCUGCAGGGGAUGCUUCGGAGUCGUACCCGUUCUAAGCUUCCUUGGAACAGGACGUCACAGAGGGUGAGAAUCCCGUAUGUGAGCGGUGGACGACUCCAUGUGAAGCUCCUCCGACGAGUCGAGUUGUUUGGGAAUGCAGCUCUAAAUGGGAGGUAAAUUUCUUCUAAAGCUAAAUACCGGCCAGAGACCGAUAGCGCACAAGUA